rnacentral:rRNA from 1 species
AGUGCUAAUACCGGAUAACAACAGAUGAUGCCUAUCAACUGUUUAAAAGAUGGUUCUGCUAUCACUCUUGGAUGGACCUGCGGUGCAUUAGCUAGUUGGUAGGGUAACGGCCUACCAAGGCGAUGAUGCAUAGCCGAGUUGAGAGACUGAUCGGCCACAUUGGGACUGAGACACGGCCCAAACUCCUACGGGAGGCAGCAGC